UCCUGGCUCAGGAUGAACGCUAGCGACAGGCUUAACACAUGCAAGUCGAGGGGCAGCGGUGGUGAAGGCUUGCCUUUACCAGCCGGCGACCGGCGCACGGGCGAGUAACACGUAUGCAACCUGCCUGCCACAGCCGGAUAAUCGGGAGAAAUUCCGUCUAAUACGGCAUAAUGCACCUAUGGGACAGGGGGUGGGGGCCAAAGGUUAAUUCCGGUGGCGGAUGGGCAUGCGUCCGCAUUACCUAGUUGGGGGGUGGAACUGACCCACCAAGACAACGAUGCGUAGGGGUUCUGAGAGGGAGGUCCCCCACACUGGUAAUGAGACACGGACCAGACUCUUACGGGAGGCAGCAGUGAGGAAUAUUGGUCAAUGGGCGGGAGCCUGAACCAGCCAAGUGGCGUGAGGGAUGACGGCCCUAUGGGUUGUAAACCUCUUUUGCCGGGGAGCAAAGUGCCGCACGUGUGCGGUUUGGAGAGUACCCGGAGAAAAAGCAUCGGCUAACUCCGUGCCAGCAGCCGCGGUAAUACGGAGGAUGCGAGCGUUAUCCGGAUUUAUUGGGUUUAAAGGGUGCGUAGGCGGACGCUUAAGUCAGCGGUAAAAUUGCGGGGCUCAACCUCGUCGAGCCGUUGAAACUGGGUGCCUUGAGUGGGCGAGAAGUACGCGGAAUGCGUGGUGUAGCGGUGAAAUGCAUAGAUAUCACGAAGAACUCCGAUUGCGAAGGCAGCGUACCGGCGCCCAACUGACGCUGAAGCACGAAGGCGUGGGUAUCGAACAAGAUUAGAUACCCUGGUAGUCCACGCAGUAAACG
rnacentral:rRNA from 1 species